CUGAAGAGUUUGAUCAUGGCUCAGAUUGAACGCUGGCGGCAGGCCUAACACAUGCAAGUCGAGCGAGACCUUCGGGUCUAGCGGCGGACGGGUUAGUAACGCGUGGGAACGUACCCUUUUCUAAGGAAUAGCCACUGGAAACGGUGAGUAAUGCCUUAUACGCCCUUCGGGGGAAAGAUUUAUCGGAGAAGGAUCGGCCCGCGUUAGAUUAGAUAGUUGGUGGGGUAAUGGCCUACCAAGUCUACGAUCUAUAGCUGGUUUGAGAGGAUGAUCAGCAACACUGGGACUGAGACACGGCCCAGACUCCUACGGG
rnacentral:rRNA from 12 species